GUCUAUGGCCAUACCACCCUGAAUGCUCCUGUUCUCAUCUGAUCACAGAAGAAUCAUAGCUGGGAAAAAGAGUGGUUAAAGUAUGUUUAAAGAAAUAAACU
rnacentral:rRNA from 1 species